AGAGAGAGAGAGAGAGAGAGAGAGAGAGAGAGAGAGAGAGGAUUUACAUGGGGCUUCUAUCCUCUCCUCCGACUCUUCUUCUUCCUCAACCUCUCCUCUUCACCAUCUUCUUUCUGCCUUAAUCAGACGAGAGGUUGUGGACGGCUACUUAAUCUUUUCUCCAUCUUUUCUUACAUGGAAGAUGAAUCUUUUCUUUCAUGGCAAACAAGUACCCAAUGUCAACCCACCAUCGAGCGUCGAGUUCCUGAUUUAUCCUUUUCUAGGUUCUCAAUGGAGAGGAAUCAAGGGUUUUUUUUUUCUUAGAGGGUUGUCUCUCGAAAGGUCAAGGGCUAAGAGCCUAAGAGUCCAGUGUGGUAUGCUCUCCGAUGUUGAGUUUACUUCAGCAUAGGGAUAAGCACCAUGCCCUGCCACGUGAGCUGUUGGUUACGAGAUUGGAAAGCUUGAGGCCGGCAAAAGCAUUGUCCGCCAUUAAGAGGGUCUUGUGAUCUAGGUUAUGCUUGGACAUUGCUGUGAUUGGCUUUGACUAUCUGAGUUUUGCUUCAACAGGUCCUGUGAUCCUGUAUGACUUGAUGAACAUUGAGGAACUAUGGCUCACUUCGUGUAACUUUAUGGGCUCAAUUGCGGCAUCGUUGGGUCGUUUCACUAGGCUCUAGAACUUGGACUUGUCCAUGAACAAACUCAAUGGGUCUAUUUCAGAAUCAAUUGUGGGGAUGAAGAACCUCGUUCAACUUGAGCUUUAUUAGAACUUACUCUUUGGCAAGUUACGUAUCGGAAUGUUGAAGAAUCUGAGACGCUUCGAUGUGUCCAUAUGUUUUGUAUUUUUUGUAUUUUGUUUUCAUGCACGAUUGCGUUUCAACCUCUUACACUCAUCACAUAAGCCAUCAGCGAGAUCUCAUUCUUCGCCCUUCAGUUGUAUCCAUUCAACCGCUUUAAGAGUUGAGAUGAGGCAUUUUCCCUUGAUCCGUAAA